rnacentral:rRNA from 1 species
CAAGUGGGACGAGACUAAUUAGGAGCUUGCUUUUGAUUAGUUUAGUCGCGAACGGCUGAGUAACACGUAGGAAUCUACCCUUUGGCGGGGAAUACCUUGUUGAAAGACAAGCUAAUACCGCAUAAGAACGAAAGUUGAAAGGAGCAAUCCACCGAAGGAGGAGCCUGCGGUCCAUCAGCUAGUUGGUAAGGUAAUGGCUUACCAAGGCUACGACGGAUAGGGGACGUGAGAGCGUGACCCCCCAGAAUAGGACUGAGACACGGCCUAUACACCUACGGGUGGCAGCAACUGGGAAUCGUGCGCAAUGGGCGAAAGCCUGACGCUGCGACGCCGCGUGAAUGAUGAAGGCCUUAGGGUCGUAAAGUUCUUUUGCCAAGAGGGUGACCUCUUGGAGAAUAAGCACCGGCUAACUCUGUGCCAGCAGCAGCGGUAAUACAGAGGGUGCAAGCAUUGUCCGGAUUUAUUGGGCGUAAAGCGUUUCGUAGGCGGAUUUGCAAGUUAUUUUUCAAAUACCAAGGCUCAACCUUGGAAAGGGGAAUAAUACUACAAGUCUUGAAUUGUAUCGGGGUCUUCGGAACUUGCGGUGUAGGGGUGAAAUCCGUUGAUAUCGCAGGGAACACCAAGGGCGAAGGCAGAAAACUAGGUACUAAUUGACGCUGAGGAACGACAGCUAGGGGAGCGAAAGGGAUUAGAGACCCCUGUAGUCCUAGCCGUAAACGAUGCUCGCUAGGGAUGGGCCCCUUAAAAGGUCCGUUCCGUAAGUUAACACGUUAAGCGAGCCGCCUGGGGAGUACGAUCGCAAGAUUAAAACUCAAAGGAAUUGACGGGGACCCGCACAACCAGUGGAGCAUGUGGUUUAAUUCGAGACGAACCGAAGAACCUUACCUAGGUUUGACAUGCUAGAUUCAAUCUUUCAGAA